GUGAUCGUAGCUCAGUUGGUUAGAGCGCCUGUCUGUGGCACAGGAGGUCGGGGGUUCAAUUCCCCUCGGUCACCCCA
rnacentral:tRNA from 5 species